UUCAUCUAUUGCAACAGAUAUUCAGGAGCAUAAUAUGAAUCCCAACAGGUAAGUAAUCUAUUGCGACUGAUCACUUACCUGUUAUAACAGAUUACAUAUCUGUUGGGAUUCAUUCACGGCAUUAUGAAAUCACUAUCAACUUUUUUUAACAAAUGACUUUAUUUAGGUACCACUAAUGGAGGGAUCAAUAACAAUAGGGGUGGAUUGUCAUAGUCAAUGGAUCAAGAAGAGUAAUCGAUAUGUAUGGCAUUGGAAGGAGGGUAAAAUGCUAG
rnacentral:lncRNA from 1 species